CCUACGGGAGGCAGCAGUGAGGAAUAUUGGUCAAUGGGCGCAAGCCUGAACCAGCCAAGUCGCGUGAGGGAUGACGGUCCUAUGGAUUGUAAACCUCUUUUGUCGGGGAGCAAGGCCCGCCACGUGUGGCGGGAAGGAGAGUACCCGAAGAAAAAGCAUCGGCUAACUACGUGCCAGCAGCCGCGGUAAUACGUAGGGGGCAAGCGUUAUCCGGAUUUACUGGGUGUAAAGGGAGCGUAGACGGUGCGCCAAGUCUGGAGUGAAAUGCCGCAGCUUAACUGCGGAACUGCUUUGGAAACUGGCGAACUAGAGUGCGGGAGGGGUAAGCGGAAUUCCUAGUGUAGCGGUGAAAUGCGUAGAUAUUAGGAGGAACACCGGUGGCGAAGGCGGCUUACUGGACCGUAACUGACGUUGAGGCUCGAAAGCGUGGGGAGCAAACAGGAUUAGAUACCCCUGUAGUC
rnacentral:rRNA from 1 species